rnacentral:rRNA from 1 species
AUUUUUGGAGGGGGAAUAGCUCAUAGCGUAUAUUAAGUUGUUGUGGUUAAAAAGCUCGUAGUUGAACCUUGGGCCUGGCUGGCCGGUCCGCCUCACCGCGUGCACUGGUCCGGCCGGGCCUUUCCCUCUGUGGAACCCCAUGCCCUUCACUGGGCGUGGCGGGGAAACAGGACUUUUACUUUGAAAAAAUUAGAGUGUUUAAAGCAGGC